CGGGAGGGCGUGGGGAGGCAGGCCGGGCGCGCACGCUGCCGGGCUGUAUCAUCACCCCCGCUGCCGCCGGGACGGGAAGUGAGCCGCCCGGGCCCACAGUGCCAGCUAGCCGCCGAGAGGGUCCUGCAGCCGCCCGCACCCGGGGCGAAGCAUGGCUGCCGCCAAGGUGGUUUUAACCAAGAGAGCAGAUCCAGCUGAGCUUAGAACAAUAUUUUUGAAGUAUGCAAGCAUUGAAAAAAAUGGUGAGUUUUUCAUGUCUCCCAAUGACUUCGUCACUCGAUAUUUGAACAUUUUUGGAGAAAGCCAGCCUAAUCCAAAGACUGUGGAGCUUUUAAGUGGUGUAGUGGAUCAGACCAAAGAUGGAUUAAUAUCCUUUCAAGAGUUCGUAGCAUUUGAAUCUGUCCUGUGUGCCCCGGAUGCUUUGUUCAUGGUGGCCUUUCAACUGUUUGACAAAGCUGGCAAAGGAGAAGUUACUUUUGAGGACGUUAAGCAAGUUUUUGGACAGACCACAAUUCAUCAACAUAUUCCGUUUAACUGGGAUUCAGAAUUUGUGCAACUACAUUUUGGAAAAGAAAGAAAAAGACACCUGACAUAUGCAGAAUUCACUCAGUUUUUACUGGAAAUACAGUUGGAGCAUGCAAAGCAGGCCUUUGUGCAAAGGGACAACGCCAGGACUGGAAAAGUUACAGCCAUUGACUUCCGAGACAUCAUGGUCACCAUCCGCCCCCAUGUCUUGACGCCUUUUGUAGAAGAAUGUCUAGUAGCUGCUGCUGGAGGUACUACGUCCCAUCAAGUUAGUUUCUCCUAUUUUAAUGGAUUUAAUUCACUCCUUAACAACAUGGAGCUCAUUAGAAAGAUCUACAGCACUCUGGCUGGCAACAGGAAAGAUGUAGAGGUGACUAAGGAGGAGUUUGUUCUGGCGGCUCAGAAAUUUGGUCAGGUUACACCCAUGGAAGUUGACAUCUUGUUUCAGUUAGCAGAUUUAUAUGAGCCACGGGGACGUAUGACCUUAGCAGACAUCGAACGAAUUGCUCCGCUGGAAGAGGGAACUCUGCCCUUCAACUUGGCUGAGGCCCAGAGGCAGACAGAAAAAUGCAAUAAUCUGAGAUGUUCUGGCAUCAAAGACACGAAGGCCUCAGUGGACUCCUCCCGACCGGUUCUCCUGCAGGUUGCGGAGUCAGCCUACAGGUUUGGGCUGGGUUCCAUUGCUGGAGCUGUUGGAGCCACUGCCGUGUAUCCUAUCGAUCUUGUAAAAACUCGAAUGCAGAACCAACGAUCAACUGGCUCUUUUGUGGGAGAACUUAUGUAUAAGAACAGCUUUGACUGUUUUAAGAAAGUGCUGCGCUACGAAGGCUUCUUUGGACUGUACAGAGGUCUGUUGCCACAGUUAUUGGGAGUUGCCCCAGAGAAGGCCAUAAAACUUACAGUGAAUGAUUUUGUGAGGGAUAAAUUUAUGCGCAAAGAUGGUUCGGUCCCACUUGCAGCAGAAAUUCUUGCGGGCGGCUGUGCAGGAGGCUCCCAGGUGAUUUUCACAAAUCCUUUGGAAAUCGUCAAGAUCCGUUUGCAAGUGGCUGGAGAGAUCACCACCGGUCCCCGAGUCAGUGCCUUGUCUGUCGUAAGGGACCUGGGGUUCUUUGGGAUCUACAAGGGUGCCAAAGCAUGCUUUCUGCGGGACAUUCCUUUCUCGGCCAUCUACUUCCCAUGCUAUGCUCAUGUGAAGGCUUCCUUUGCAAACGAAGAUGGGCAGGUUAGUCCCGGAAGCCUGCUCUUGGCUGGCGCCAUAGCUGGUAUGCCCGCAGCAUCCUUAGUGACCCCUGCUGAUGUUAUCAAGACGCGAUUACAGGUGGCCGCCCGGGCUGGCCAAACCACUUACAGCGGAGUGAUGGACUGCUUCAGGAAAAUACUGCGGGAAGAAGGCCCAAAAGCUCUGUGGAAAGGAGCUGGUGCUCGUGUGUUUCGGUCCUCCCCCCAGUUUGGUGUAACUUUGCUGACGUAUGAAUUGCUACAGCGAUGGUUCUAUGUUGACUUCGGAGGCAUGAAACCCAUGGGAUCAGAGCCAGUUCCUAAGUCCAGGAUCAUACUGCCUGCUCCCAAUCCUGAUCACGUCGGAGGCUACAAACUGGCAGUUGCAACAUUUGCAGGGAUUGAAAACAAAUUUGGACUUUACCUACCUCUGUUCAAGCCGCCGGCAUCUCCCUCAGCCGUGACCAGCGCAGGCCCGUAGGAAGAACACCGCUGGGGUGGAGAGCGCCUUGUCUCCCAUGGAAACAGUGUUCCUCCUUUCACUUCCAUCUCUUGUUUAAAUUCAAGUCGAGGCUUUUUAUAAGGGUGCUUUUAUCCCUGUUGGCAUGGCUAUAUCCUCCUGGCCCUUCAAGGUCAUGUGUACCCUGAUUUUCAGUGUGCCGACAUUCAAAGUGAGUAAAAGAAAUGACGUUUAACCCUAGAUGAGCGAGGAACCCAGCGCACGGACACUUUUCCUCUAGUCAUCCCCCGUGCUUCAGGCAGUUUCUUACUGUGAGAAUUCAUACAGAUUUUCAUUUUAUAAUAUGAAGUUUCUCUGGAAGGUGGGCAUGAAAACUGGUCUGAAAUGACGAUUGUGUUUUCUAAUCCUCUCUGAUUCUUCCUUAUAUGAAAACCAGAGGUCACUGUAUCUGACAUUUGGUGGUAUUUGGCCAACACUAUCAUUUGGGGAAGGAAGCUAGUCUUGAACAAAAUUUAGGGGUUUUGACUUCUUAGACUCUGAUGAGGCUGCGGAGAACCUGUGAGCAGUCAGUCUGAAUUUUGUGUCUCCAGAACGUCCCUCCAGGAGAGACAGCCACUUUGCAGUCCGGUCUGACUUUUAGGUCAACAGGUUGACAUUCAAAGUGACUGUUCAAAACUGGGGAGCAUCAAAACAAAAUCAGGGAGCUUCAGUACCAUCCAUGAGUCUGAUUUUUUUUGGUUCCUAAGUGAACAGAAGCUUUGUUAGUUUCACCAGAAACAGGACAAAGACGGAUGUGGCUCCCUUCAUGGUUUUGGUUUUGCAUAACCAAAGCGAAAACCACUCCCUCUGUGUACGCAUCCUCACCCCCCAGUCCCUGCUUAGCGUGAUACGUGAUGAAUAUUUACAUUGUGCUCUCAGAGACCAGUCACAAAGCUCCAAAUGGGUCUUAGCAAUGUGGGUGGUGUUGCAAUAACAAAUCGCUCAAGCUUUGGGAUUUUGAAUGUGGGCAGAAGUCCCUCAGUGUCAGUCUCUGCAUUCCUUUUUCUUCACUUGCUGGACUUUUAUAGGAGAUCAGAUUUUCAUGGUAACAACAGUGACCCAAAUCUCAGAAAAGGUGCAUUGCCCUGCCUGCCUCUUUAAGAGACAUUGCUCUAUUUACCUGCUGCUGAGGGCGAUUCUCUUCAGUAAAGGAGAAACCAGAGGAACUGGGAAACCAAAGGAGAUAGGCCCACAGGGUGGUGUUUCUUUAAAAUCCUUGGCUUCUUCUAUUCAGGAUAGCCUGUGACUUGAGACACUUUGAAGGAGGCCUAAUUUCUCUCUGAGUUCUGCUCAGUGGGUGGUGUGACUGUGACAUCCUCGAACAGGACUGCAAUCGCCCUGUGGUGAAAACCACGUCAAAUUUGUUCUGGGUUUUCCUUCUUGCUGAAGUGACAGCACAGGACGUCGGCAGGGCCGCGGCUGCUGAUCAUUUCCCUCCUUAACGCUGAGGAACUGGAAGCCUUGUAACCCCCACGCUGCCUGCCCGCCCCGGGGGGCCAGCCUCCCCCUGCUGUCCCGGCCAGGGCCAGCCAAGGAGUCUUCAAGCCUGUCCGCUUAGGGGGUGGGGCAAGAGGCCUGAUUUUUGUAGCAGCUUUCUUUUUUUCAAGGAGGGGAAAAAAUGUGAAGCUGACCACAAAGUGAACACACUGAUUCUUGGGUUCCAGUCGUGGCUGGGUUUCUUGAGGCUGGGUGGCAUGCUGUCGCCGAGCUCAUGCUACACCUCAUAACCCACAACCAUUUGCUGAGCUCCCUGGGGUCGCCUUAAUCCCAGCAGCCAGGGUUGCACAGGGGAAAAUAAGAAUUCUGGCACAGAAAGGAGUCAUUUAAGUGCUUAUUGCAUUUCAAGCUUCAGUUUUUACUUAGCUAAAAUAUUUACCAUUGCUGGAAAACAAUGUUUAAAAUUUUGUGCUUAUAUGUUAUUUAAUGGUGUGGCCUAUGUAAACCUCAGGAUGCUUACAUUUUGACAGUCUUAUGGAAAUGUUUAACAGCACAUAACUCAGUGAGCAGGGAAUAAAAACGGGAAGAAAUUGCGCUUGAAACUGUUGGUAACCCCGUCCGGCUAGGUCUUCAGCAAGUCAUGUUGGAAUUCUUCAGGUAGACAGAGGGAAGUCUCCAGCGAUGGAAUUUGAGUUCUGUCUUGUGGCCCCAUUUAUCAGCCUUGUAGAUGCUUCUAUCAAAGUCAUGAUGUGCCUUCUCACCGCAGAAGCCAUUCUUUUGGGGAUGAAUUUGUAUCUUUGCCACUGGGCAAGAGCCCAUUUUAAAUUCAGGGUAAUCUAAUGCUUUCAGGAUGUGGAUUUUUCCAAGGAUUUUUUUUUUCUCCAAAGAUUUUUUUAAAAGACGCAUUCACUGGUAAGAGCAGUGAAAUGUUCUUUCCACAAAUGGUACUGCCCACAGAGGGGGUGUGCCUUUUGUUUUACCUUUUGGGAAUAAUCCAGCCCUCACCAAGGCGUUCUAUUUUCAAUGUUAGGAAGACCGCAGGGGGUCCACCCCCUUUUCCAAGGCCAGGGCAGCUAAAAGCAUUGCACCUCUGUCUUAAAACCCUAGCAGUCCUUAGUUUGAAAGCCCGGACCAGGCUCUAAUGAGGGUAGGGACUGAGGCUUUUUUUCAGAGUCCCACAGUGCCUGGGACUUAGUAGGCUCUUGGUUAUUAAUUUGAAGGAUGGGUGAAUGGAUUUUCGAGAAAUCUGUAUUUUUUCCCAAUGAGCAAUCUCUAUUAUUUUCCAACUUUACAAGCCUUUUCCGCUGCUGGAGUUAAAACCAUAACUGAAAACAAUCACAGGCUUCUGUAUUGAUCACAUACUUUAGAAGUCAUAAAUAUGUCUUUUAUUAAAGCUACAGCUGUUAAAAUUGGUGUUAAUGACUUACAUUGACCCAGGAACUGUCAUAUAAACAAUAUUUAAAGUUCCUGAUCAUUGUUAAAAGUGAAGCUUUAAAAAAGCAUACCUUUUGAGAUUAGUGCGGCAUUGGGAUUGGGAUAGGUCAUUAAAAUAGUCUUUCUUAUCAAUGAAUAUUAAUUAUUUACAACUCAUUCUCUCUGUUUCUCUCACUGCCCGAUGUUUAUGUGUCUGUAGGAGCACAGUGACAAGCUUUCCUUUAGAAGCUGCUGAGGACAACGGGAACUCUUUCAAAAGGGUUUGUUUUUAGCUAAUGCAUUAAUUGACUCCAAAAAAGAGUCCAAAUGGAACACUCUGCUUUCAUCUGCUGGGGUAACCUAAUAAAAUAAUGUUUGUUUUUAGAUUCCCGGCUGUUAAGGGGGUUUUGCUCAAGGCAAAACCACAGUCCCCUCGAAUAACUUCAGAAGGAAAGUUAAGAAGACACACUAAUUGUGCCUGUCUGAGGCUGGCUUCUCCCGGGUCACAAGCACACCCCCAGCACACGGGUCUGGCCACCGGGACCUUGGUGCCCACCACUACUUUGAUUCCAUUAGCCAGGGCUCCUGCCCCUUUGCAGGACACUUGAUUUGACAGUGGAGCAGUUCUAAGGUGACUUUAAAAUAGACUCAAGUUCUCAGAACAGACUUGUGCAAGCUUAACCAUAGUCUGUCCUGUAUGGUGGGGAGAAGGAAAUACAGCUUAAAGAAAAUACUGUUCUCUAUCUCUUAUCACCUGCCUCCACCUCUUGCUCGGGUCUUGUUGGGCUGCUUUCAAAAGAGGGAGGGGCAAGUCACUCUGCCUCCACCAUGGAGUUCUUUGGCCACUAAGAGCUCAUUAAAUAUGAGGUAUUACAUGCCGGGCAUGAUCUCAUUAAAUCCUCCCCACAGCCCUUAAAGUAGGUACUGUUCUUUUUUCCUAUGUACAAAUGAGGAAACCCAAGACUCGCAGGGGCCCCGUGUCUUGCUCAUGGCCUCUCAACUAGCAAAUGAGGGGGCUAGGAUUUGAAUCUAGGUCUCGUGGCAGUCCAAGCCCUGUUCUUUACCUACAAGGGUUUCUCAACAAAAUUCAGUCCAGGAAAUUCUUAUGACAGUCUUUGCCCAGAAUUUCUUAUUGUCACCAGUUCUCAGAAUCAGAUGUAUCAUUUCUAGCUUAGAGGAAGGGAAGGGUGAUCGCUGAUUAUUUACCACAGUAAGUUUAGUUUUUGCUAAUUCAGAGAAUUCCAGAGCCUGAGGACCAGGUGAAUCCUGACUAGCCUUUUGAUGUUCAUCUUCUUUUGUCUUUGUUUUUUAAGAUUUUAUUCGAGGGAAGAGAGAGAGCACGCGUACUCGCACGCACGCUUGAGCAGAGGGGAGGGGCAGAGGGAGAGAGAAGCAGAUUCCCUGCAGAGCAGGGAGCCCCACUUGGGGCUCGAUCCCAGGACCCUGAGAUCAUGAACUGAAGGCAGACGCUUAACCAACUGAGCCACCCAGUCGCCCCAAGGUUCAUCUUAAACUAUUUUAUGACCUAGUAAAGUCAGUAAAGAGAGGAUUAAGGUAAACUUGAAGCAUUUGCCCCACGAGUUUAAAAUGGAAAGGUAAUGUGGAAAAAGCAGAGAUAAAUUUACAGACUGUUACAGGGCAACGCGAUAUGAUGUGAACUGAGUUGGACCAUCUUAAAAAUCUCUACUAUAAUUAGAAAAUGCCAUUCUUCGGGGCGCCU